CUGGCGUCCUUCGGGCGUCCGAGUUGUAAUCUAUAGAAGUGUUUUCCGUGCCGGACCAUGUCCAAGUCCCUUGGAACAGGGUAUCAAAGAGGGUGACAAUCCCGUACUUGACAUGACCACCGGUGCUCUGUGAUACACUUUCUACGAGUCGAGUUGUUUGGGAAUGCAGCUCAAAAUGGGUGGUAAAUUCCAUCUAAAGCUAAAUAUUGGCGAGAGACCGAUAGCGAACAAGUACCGUGAGGGAAAGAUGAAAAGCACUUUGGAAAGAGAGUUAAACAGUACGUGAAAUUGUUGAAAGGGAAACGAUUGAAGUCAGUCGUGUUCUUUGGACUCAGCCGGUUCUUCCGGUCUAUUUCCUUUGAACGGGUCAACAUCAGUUUUGUCCGGUGGAUAAAGGCAGGAAGAAAGUGGCUCCCUCGGGAGUGUUAUAGCUUUCUGUCACAUACACUGGAGGAGACUGAGGACUGCAGCUCGCCUUUUGGCCGGGGUUCGCCCACGUUCGAGCUUAGGAUGUUGACAUAAUGGCUUUAAACGAC
rnacentral:rRNA from 1 species